GACGGGGGGUCCUAGCGUUGUUCGGAAUCAUUGGGCGUAAAGCGUGUGCAGGUGGCUUUAUAAGUUAGAUGUGAAAUCCUUGGGCUCAACCCAAGAAGUGCAUUUAAAACUAUAUGGCUUGAGUAUGGAAGAGGGUCGUGGAAUUCCUGGUGUAGUGGUGAAAUACGUAGAUAUCAGGAGGAACACCGGCGGACGAAGGCGGCGACCUGGUCCGAAUACCUGGACACUCAUACACGAAAGCGUGGGGGAAU
rnacentral:rRNA from 1 species